rnacentral:rRNA from 1 species
GACGAACGCUGGCGGCGUGCUUAACACAUGCAAGUCGAACGGUGAACUCCGCUUGCGGGGGGAUCAGUGGCGAACGGGUGAGUAACACGUGGGCAACCUGCCCUCAGCUCUGGGAUAACUCCAAGAAAUUGGGGCUAAUACCGGAUAUGACUGCUGACCGCAUGGUCUGGUGGUGGAAAGAUUUAUCGGCUGGGGAUGGGCCCGCGGCCUAUCAGCUUGUUGGUGGGGUAGUGGCCUACCAAGGCGACGACGGGUAGCCGGCCUGAGAGGGUGGCCGGCCAAACUGGGACUGAGACACGGCCCAGACUCCUACGGGAGGCAGCAGUGGGGAAUAUUGCGCAAUGGGCGGAAGCCUGACGCAGCGACGCCGCGUGGGGGAUGACGGCCUUCGGGUUGUAAACCUCUUUCACCCAUGACGAAGCGAAAGUGACGGUAGUGGGAGAAGAAGCACCGGCCAACUACGUGCCAGCAGCCGCAGUAAUAC